rnacentral:lncRNA from 1 species
GAUAGUGCCCAGCACUAAAAAGAGCAUAGACAUGCUGAUGAACAGCCAUGGCAUUUAUAUGAGUUUCCUAUGUCAUCAUGGCCAACAUGCAAGCCAUAAACAUAUAGUUUUUACCCUGGAUAUUUUUUCUCCUGCAAAUGCUGCUAAUUAUCAUCCUAUUCGGCAAUGCAGUGAUUAGAUAACAUCAUGCCAUAUUUCUUGCAUGCAACCUUUUAGUUGUUUGGAAUAUUGUUGAAUCACCAUGCAGCUGAAGUUUCCCCUUCUUUUGGCAUGCCUCAAACUUGUGAAUGUAAAAGAUUGAAAUUAUUCCCUGCAUAAAGAAGAAAGACACAUUGACAUAAACAUACUCAGAUCAAAGCUACAUUUGUGUGAAUGCGCUCACACGCCUGUGUUCAAAUCCCAGUUUGGGAUGAAUUGGGUGUUGCACUGGGGAUUCCCCCCCUGAGGGGGCCGAGCCGGCGAGCAUGUCAAUGUGAGUAGCGUGUGUGCUCGGUAGAUGAGUUCUGAGAUUCCUUAGGCAGUCUCACAUUUAUUUGAGCGUGGGGUCAGUAUAGGUGUCCAUAUGAGUCUUACAUGUAAGUAUGUAACAUGGUAUGCCAGUGCUCUGGCCAGAUUCAAAAAUAAAAAAGUUACAUUUGCAUUUUUGCAAGACACAGUGCAAAGCAAAAUAACUUCAUUAGGAACCGGCCCUCCGUCCAUACCUCUAGCAUAGGGUUCUGAGGUAAAGCCUAUACUAAUGCACUAUUUCAAGAUCCAUGGUUUGUGCCGUCUGCCGUGGACUCUUUUGUGGGCUGGACCUACAAGUGAAUCAAAAAUAAAAGACAGUCGGUGUCCUCCACGUAAUCUAAGGAGAGUUUAGGAAAGAUGAGAUUUAUUUUGAUUAAUUGAGAUAUUUGAGGAAGGCCUGGAUUAUAAAAGCCAAUAGUCUGUAUUAGGAAAAUGGUCAAAGAAGAAUAAGACUCCUGCCGGGAGUCCUCUUCGGUCUAGCCAGGGAAUUCACCCCUGCCACCGUGGAGGACAAUCGUCCAUUGCCACACUACCCUCUUCGAUCUCUUCUUCAAUCUCAUCUGCUGCUGUGAUCUCCCUUGGGCACACCUCGCUGACUGUGCGACAUCAGUUUGAUACUGAAUAGGUAUAAGAUUUCUUGACAUAAAAUCCAGCAGUCCAUCCUGAGGGCAUGGUUUGCCUACUUUGAUUUUUUCUUCUUGUCUCAGACCUUGAAAAAUGAUAAUCAUUUCAGCUUGACAUGGAAGUGUUGUUCUAUACAGUACUUGUAUUUAUUUACAAUUCAUAAGUAAUAAGUUGACUUUAGUUUCGCAUUCUGAUUGACCGUGCCUUGUUCAAUAUGGAUAUGACAGAUGAUAACUGAUGAGUAUUUUUGACUUGUCAUCCUGAGGUCUCAUGUAGAGUUCAUGAUCAAUUUUCUGUUUCCAUGUCCAGUGUACAUUAUUCAUGAAAGAAUAUUUUAUGAAAGUUUUAGUAAUAGGGUGAUCAAACGAAACUCCUGUCUUAGAUGUGAUUUUAUUAUGUCUGUCCUUUAUAGCAGUGGGUUUAUUUGCAGCCAAAGUAGACUACCUUGACUUUCAAUUUGGUCGGUUUCUCCCAUGCAUGUUGCAAGAAUACCUUGAGCUUGGAAUUUGACCCAUGUUCGAUUCCUCCAUUGCAGGUCGCAGAGCGGCUGGAAAAGUUCAAGACAACAAUUUUCACUCAGAUGAGCAUGCUUGCCAUCAAGCAUGGAGCAAUAAACCUUGGCCAGGGCUUUCCGAAUUUUGAUGGCCCAGACUUUGUGAAAGAGGCCGCAAUUCAAGCUAUCAAUGCUGGGAAGAAUCAGUACGCAAGAGGGUUUGGUGUGCCUGAACUGAACUCGGCUAUCGCUGAAAGGUUCCUGAAGGACAGUGGAUUGCAAGUUGACCCUGACAAGGAAGUCACUGUUACAUCUGGAUGCACUGAGGCAAUAGCUGCAACCAUACUAGGUCUGAUCAAUCCUGGCGACGAGGUGAUACUGUUCGCCCCAUUCUACGAUUCAUACGAGGCUACACUGUCGAUGGCCGGUGCCAACGUGAAGGCCAUUACCCUCCGCGCUCCAGAUUUCGCGGUCCCGCUUGAGGAGCUGGAGGCUGCAGUCUCCAAGGACACGAAAGCGAUAAUGAUAAACACGCCGCACAACCCAACCGGGAAAAUGUUCACCAGGGAGGAGCUCGAAUCCAUCGCCGCCCUCUGCAAGGAAAACGACGUUUUGCUGUUCUCAGAUGAGGUCUAUGACAAGCUGGUGUUUGAGGCUGACCACAUAUCCAUGGCUUCUAUCCCGGGCAUGUACGAGAGGACGGUGACCAUGAACUCUCUGGGGAAGACGUUCUCUCUUACAGGAUGGAAGAUCGGGUGGGCAAUCGCGCCGCCGCACCUGACAUGGGGCCUCAGGCAGGCGCACUCGUUCCUGACGUUCGCCACCUGCACACCGAUGCAGGCGGCGGCCGCGGCGGCUCUGAGGGCACCGGACAGCUACUACGACGAGCUGAAGAGGGACUACAGCGCGAAGAAGGCUAUCCUGCUGGAAGGACUCGAAGCCGCAGGGUUCAUCGUCUACCCAUCGAGUGGGACAUACUACAUCAUGGUCGACCACACCCCGUUCGGUUUCGACAGCGACGUAGAGUUCUGCGAGUACUUGAUCCGCGAAGUCGGCGUCUGCGCUAUACCGCCCAGCGUGUUCUACCUCGACCCCGAAGAGGGAAAGAAAUUGGUGAGGUUCACCUUCAGCAAGGACGAAGGCACGCUGCGGGCCGCGGUCGAGAGGUUGAAGGCGAAGCUCAGGAGGAAAUGAAUGAAGGGGGGAU